rnacentral:lncRNA from 1 species
UCCCAGACCUCUCUAAAUGCGUUAAUUUGAUGGAUUUGCAGGUUCGUGACAAUCAGUUGACGGGUAUCGUGCCGCCGUCCAUCAACUCGCUUUCUACUCUCGCCAACAUUUCUUUGGACAACAACAAGUUGCAGGGCCCAACCCCUGCUUUCUCCCCCAAUGUAGUCAAGUUUACUUAUGAUGAUAACAACUUCUGCACAACAGAGCCUGGGAAGAACUGUGAUCCGCAGGUAACAGUGCUGCUCGAGGUUGCCGGAGCUAUGGGUUACCCGGUGAUGCUUUCAGACUCGUGGAAGGGAAAUAGUGCGUGUAAUGGUUGGUCAUCUGUUACCUGCGAUACAACUGGAGCUGUUAUCAGCGUGACCCUUGGGAAGCAUGGCUUCGCCGGAACAAUCUCGCCGACCAUUGCCAACUUGACGUCGCUGAAGAAUUUGAUUCUCAACGGCAAUAACUUGACAGGUCCUAUUCCUCC